rnacentral:rRNA from 1 species
CCUACGGGGGGCUGCAGUGAGGAAUAUUGGUCAAUGGGCUUACGCCUGAACCAGCCAAGUCGCGUGAGGGAAGACUGCCCUAUGGGUUGUAAACCUCUUUUGUCAGGGAGCAAUUGGCGCUACGUGUAGCGUUAUCGGGAGUACCUGAAGAAAAAGCAUCGGCUAACUCCGUGCCAGCAGCCGCGGUAAUACGGAGGAUGCGAGCGUUAUCCGGAUUUUUUGGGUGUAAAGGGUGCGUAGGCGGAAUGUCAAGUCAGCGGUAAAAUCGCGGGGCUCAACCUCGCUCCGCCGUUGAAACUGGCGGUCUUGAGUGGGCGAGAAGUAGGCGGAAUGCGUGGUGUAGCGGUGAAAUGCAUAGAUAUCACGCAGAACUCCGAUUGCGAAGGCAGCAGACCGGCGCCCAACUGACGCUGAAGCACGAAAGCGUGGGUAUCGAACAGGAUUAGAUACCCUUGUAGUC